GUGCUCCCUUCUGCCACACAUGCACUAAAACUGACAUGACAGAGAAGUUUACCAAGCACAACCCGUGUGCAGGGAUGAUGACCAAAUUCAUGCAGAGUGCCAUAUUUUA
ensembl:snRNA predicted gene, 27342